rnacentral:rRNA from 1 species
CACGGGGGGAGCAAGCGUUGUUCGGAAUCACUGGGCGUAAAGGGCGCGUAGGCGGACAGUUUAGUCAGAGGUGAAAGCCCAGGGCUCAACCUUGGAACUGCCUUCGAUACUGCGGGUCUCGAGUCCGGGAGAGGUGAGUGGAAUUCCUAGUGUAGAGGUGAAAUUCGUAGAUAUUAGGAAGAACACCAGUGGCGAAGGCGGCUCACUGGCCCGGUACUGACGCUGAGGCGCGAAAGCGUGGGGAGCAAACAGG